GCCGGAGUGGUGGAACUGGUAGACGCGCUGGACUCAAAAUCCGGAAUCAGCAAUGGUGUGCGGGUUCGAUUCCCGCCUCCGGCA
rnacentral:tRNA from 1 species